AACUCAUUUCUCAAAAAUUAUCCUCGGUCUCUACCUGAGCUGUGAUAUCUUAGUACUUCACUCAUGUUCAUUGCCAUAGGAGCACACAAGAUUUCUUGACAAAAUCCAGUAACUAUUCUUGGUCCUAGGGAAGCAUCUAGAUGGAGCAGUUUUAAUGAUCAAAGAUGGUAAACUUCUAUUUCCUAAUUUCUGCUUCUUGUUUCUUUUAUAGUAUUUAGCCUAAAUUUUGUGUAGCCCUAAUCCUACAUUCACUCUCCUUGCUUUUGAUCAAUAACACAAGCAGCCGCUGCUACUAACUACUACUCUGCAGAGUCAGAGAACUACCCAGAUAUUUGGAGUUCACAUUGAUCUUCAGCUGGCAACCCAGACAUACCAUAUGUUCUGGUUUCCAGUCAUUGAUUCCGAUUGCAGUGAGGAGCUUUUGGCUGCUACAGGAAGGUUUUGAAGCAACUUUUACAGACUUUGAAGCCAACUGAAAUGUUUAUGAUGUUCUUUCUGAGUUCCAACAAUCUCGUGCUCCUAGCAAUGUUGAUUACCAAACUGUUGAGCAUGUGAAAUGUUUGAGGAUGUUAUGGAUCUAGUAAUUAGCUGUUAGAUUUGUUCCCACGA